GACUCAGAUGGCUGAAACCUGGUCUGAGGAAGUAUUCCUGUGAACUAACACUGGACACAAGCACAGUGAACAGAAGACUCAAACUGUCUGACAACAACAGGAAAGUGACACAGGUGAAGGAGGAUCAGCCAUAUCAUGAUCAUCCAGAGAGGUUUGAAUACUGGCCUCAGCUGCUGUGUAGAGAUGAUCUGACUGGUCGCUGUUA